UGCCUUGGAGAGGGGGAAUAACACUCCGAAAGGAGUGCUAAUACCGCAUGAUGCAGUUGGGUCGCAUGGCUCUGACUGCCAAAGAUUUAUCGCUCUGAGAUGGCCUCGCGUCUGAUUAGCUAGUAGGCGGGGUAACGGCCCACCUAGGCGACGAUCAGUAGCCGGACUGAGAGGUUGACCGGCCACAUUGGGACUGAGACACGGCCCAGACUCCUACGGAGGCAGCAUG
rnacentral:rRNA from 1 species